GUAGGUGGCAAGCGUUGUCCGGAAUUAUUGGGCGUAAAGCGCGCGCAGGCGGUUCUUUAAGUCUGAUGUGAAAGCCCACGGCUCAACCGUGGAGGGUCAUUGGAAACUGGAGAACUUGAGUACAGAAGAGGAAAGCGGAAUUCCACGUGUAGCGGUGCAAUGCGUAGAGAUGUGGAGGAACACCAGUGGCGAAGGCGGCUUUCUGGUCUGUAACUGACGCUGAGGCGCGAAAGCGUGGGGGAGCAUACAGGAUUAGAUACCCUGGUAGUCCACGCCGUAAACGAUGAGUGCUAAGUGUUAGGGGGUUUCCGCCCCCCCCUUAGUGCUGCAGCUAACGCAUUAAGCACUCCGCCUGGGGAGUACGGCCGCAAGGCUG
rnacentral:rRNA from 1 species